GCGUAAGAUCCGCACGAUUUGAUAAUAUGAGGAACACACUUUGGACAGUCAUAGACGAUACUGGUUUAAUGCUUACCCUUGAUAUUUUCCCCGUCAUUUUUCAAAUGCUUGCCGGCGAAAAAU
rnacentral:ncRNA from 1 species